GACUCCGUGGCGCAACGGUAGCGCGUCUGACUCCGGAUCAGAAUGUUGCGUGUUCAAAUCACGUCGCGGUCA
rnacentral:tRNA from 1 species